rnacentral:pre_miRNA from 1 species
AGUGGAAUUGCUGGGUCACAUGGUAACUAUUGUAACUUUUUGAGAAACUGCUAAACUGAUUUCCAAAGUGACUGUACCAUUUUACAUUCCCACCAGCAAU